GGUAUGGUGGCCGAGUGGGUAAAGCGCUUAUAGGCUAUUGACUAAAUAUCGAUGGUUCGAAUCCAUCCCGGAGCA